ensembl:snRNA U1 U1 spliceosomal RNA
AUACUUAACAUGGCAGAGGAGAUAUCAUAAUCACAAAGGUGGUUUUCCCCGGGCAAGCCUUAUCCACUGCAUUUCAGAUGUGCUCACCUCUGUGAUUUCCCCAAAUGUGGAAAACUGGACUGCAUAAUUUGUGGUAGUGGGGGACUGCAUUAAUACCGUCCUCUG